GCCAGGACAUGCAGACCCAGGACAGGGAAGGGAGUGGCCCUCACUCCUAUUGCUCUCUAGAUGAGAUUUCUGGGAUUGGACACAACUUGACCUCAGUCCUGCUCCAGACUGGCUCCUCCCAGUUCCACGGUACCCUGGUGCCACAGUCAUCCACCGCUUCUGCCUUUUACAGACUUUCUUCUGCUCCUUCUUCCUCAAUGAUCCCUGAGCCUUGGGAGGAGGAGUUGUAAUAUAGAGAUAGCCCCUUAAGGCCCGAGCUUUCCCCAAUCUCUGCACCUUGACUAUUGUAGAAACUCAUAUACAUUCACCUAUUUUAAUAAAGCAAGUUAGGUAGUUACCCUAUAACAAAGCACAAAGCCCCUACUAGACACCGCAGACUAACAAACAAAAGUCUCAGUGCCAAGAAUCAGUUUCCUCUUUUGGAGUCAUGGAUCAGUGAGGUCCCAUAGAGUACUGGACAUGACCGUUACAGAGUAUCGCCAUCCCUCUCGGGACUCUUCAGAACUUGAUGACAAGAUCCUAUCACUGAGGACAAACACAAGCUCUGCUCUGAAGACUGAGGUGGGUCUGCCACUCUGUAGGCUGAAACACGAGCUCUGGAGACUGUCAUUUGCACUUGUGUCUAGAAGUGCCUGUCUUCUGACUAUCGUAUUCUUCCAUGGAGCACCGGGGUGGCAGAUCUCCAGGAGAACCCAUUCUGCCUUUCAUUGAGGUUGCCUUCCAUCCUGGAGUCAAGUUCUGCCCAACAUCACAGGAUUUAGUUGCCUCCUUCACUCCUUUUUGGCUACUAGGCUACUAUUCUAUAUACUAAGUAUCGCACUCUGAGUCUUCCUGGCCAAUAUAACUGGAUUGAGAAGCACCUAAAAGAUAGAUCUUUGGAACCUUCAUGAAACUACUUCCAUGUUGGAAUGUGGAAUUUGGGGAACUUGAAUCUGUAUUUCCUGGCUGUGACCACUCUCAUAUUUUGCUCCAGAAUAAACUAUCUCCUAUCUCUUUUGAGAAUCUCUGGACUCAUUAAACAGUACCAGUGCCUGGGCCAGCAAGAUGGAUGGCUUGGUGGGUAAAGGUGCCUGCUACAGAGCCUGAGGAUGCCAGCCCAACCCCUGGAACCCACACGGUGGAAGAAAACUAACUUUAACAAGCUGUCUUUUGAUGUCCACAUGUGAGUUGAGGUGUGAGCCCCCCUCCUUAGCUAAACAGACCUAUGUAAUAAAAAAGUAAUUCAAACCAACAACUCUGGUGAUUUUCUGUUUCUGUCUCUCUAGCUGAGUCCACUCAGAUCUACUUCCUGUCUCUGACUAUACCUAUUCCAGGCACUCUGUGCAAUUAUGGAUACUGGUCCUCUUGUGUCUGGCUUAUUUUAUUUGUCACAGUGUCAUCAGGGCUCAUCUGCCUCAAACUCACAAGAGAACCACCAGUCCCUGCCUCUGAAGCACUGUGGUCAAAGGUCACCACCCUCUGCCAGAUGAUAUUCUACUUUGGUCAUCCAUUGCUAUGAACACGUCAUAGCACUACAUUCAGGAAUAUUUUGGGUCUCUUGUUUUGAUUCAGGACCUUGCUCUGUGGCCAGUGCUGGCCUGGACCUGAUAACUGUGCCUCAGCCUCCUGACUACAGGUAUGUACCGCAUACCACACAUUUUAAUAAUUAAAAAAAAAAGUGUAUGAUUGUUUUGUUUGACAGUAUGUUUGUGUACCGCAUGCAUGCCUUGUGCCCAGAAGAGGCGCAUCAAAUCCCCUGGGAAGAUGGUUGUGGGGAGCUUUGUGGAGGCUAGGAUUUUAAGUUGGGUCCUCUUGAAGAGUGGCCAGUGCUCUUAAUCACGGAGUCAUCUCUCCAGCCACCACACUGUUUUUUAACGUUAACGUGAAUUAAGGAUAAGAAAUGAAGCUGUUUUUCAGCUCAGCUCUGCUGCGGACGGUCCAGCUUAGGCAAGACUCUGCCAGUGUCAGAGACAAGAACUGGCACAGGGCUGCCUGACACUGCCAGCUGGUUCUUGUUCUCCUCUACCCACUCAACUAGUCCCAGGGUCUGUGUAGGGGCAGAUCCCUGAGAUGAAGCUCUGCGUGCACGUAUCUUAGAGUGGUUCCGUCUCCUUCAUUAAAUCCCGAUGGAUAUAU